rnacentral:misc_RNA from 1 species
AGGAACGUUGUAUGUACGUUGAACCAUGUGCUCCCGAGCACACAUACAUCUCUCUUGUCCAAUCUAAUAUCUAUUAGUGCUGUUACAGUCAUAUAUGUCCCGCACAGCUUUCUUACCAUUUAUAAAUACACAUGCAACAUUCAAGUGGAUGUUAAGUGUAUUUCGGGUUAUACUAGCAGUUAUUAGCGAACUGUUACACAGAAUGUAUGCCUAUAUAUAUUUAUAGACAUUGUUAACAUGUUGCCAUAGCAGGUAUAAGAUGGUCUCGUAGAGCUUGCAUUUUCGUACCGGUUGUAUCGCCCUAAAAUUUCAAAUUUAUAUUUACAGUUUGAGUUGAGUAGGACGAGAUAAUUGAAUUUUUUUAAAUAUAUAAAUCUGUUACUAAUGGCCUGACAAUCAAUAAAUUUUUGAACGUAAAUACACGUUAUCAAUCGUUCAAUCGGUAAAAAAAAAAUAACGGAAAUUGUUUCAAUGUGAAUCAUCUUGUUAUUAUUUUCUGCAGAAAUUUAUGAUUAUAAACACGUUUAAUACGAUAAAUAAAAAAAUGUAUAUAUUUCUAGGAUCUUGAUGAAGUGAUUCAAGAAUUCUUCCCGCAACAAGAACAAAACUCUAAUCCUGAUAAUAGAGCAGACAAUGAAGAAAUUUUUUUUUCCCGAAUUGAUAGAAUCUGAUGAAGAGUUCAUUAUCAGACUUGCGUCAAAUUUUUCACAAGAACAAGCUUAAGGAUGUGCCGGGGUUAGUAAAAAUUCUGAUUUGAAUCGUUUUAGAGAUAAAAUUUCAAGUGGUUGUUCUUGUCAUUUUAAUUGUUUUGACAAAAUUCAAUAUGAAGAAAUUAAAGAUCAUAUACUUACUAUGCGAGCACUUACUAGAGACGAAAAAGACAUGUACAUUAUGGGAAAGCUAAAAUGUAGAAAUACUGGUAUAGACACCAGUGACAAAAAAACGCCAGCGAUAUAUAGCUUUCCUUAUCAUACAUGAUCUUGGCGAAAAGCAGCUAAACAAUUUGCUGAAACAUCUGAAAAUGAAUGGACCGGUUCCUAGGAACCAUCACAACAAAGAAAGAAAGCCGAAGCAUGCCCUUUCAUUUCGGGUGGUGAGUUUCAUCAUACGCUAUAGUGAGGAAUACGGGUUUCCCCUUCCAGCAGUGCCCCAUGGAAAUGCAUCUGACGAAAAUCCAGUCCUUCUGCCAGCAUCCUCAACUAAAAUUGAUAUCCAUACCAGAUAUCAAUCUGUUUGUGAUGAGAGCAAUGAAAGGACAUAAAAAAAAAAUCGCUAUGUAAUGGCGUACUUUUGCUGGCGGGUAAUGGUCGGGUUACAUCGUGAAGUGACGGUUAGAUUUCAAAUUCCUGGUCACACCAAUUGUCUAGUUGAUGCUGGAUUCGCUCAUAUUAAGAAGCUCUACAUACGGACAGACAAUGAUUCCCUUUCGGAUUUGGUGAGAACGGUAGAAAAGUCAUCGAAAGUUAACAAAGCCGUUAUCGUUAAUGAAACAUUUCAGUGGCGGGACUGGAAGUCCUUCCUUGCCGAUGAGUUUUGUCCAAUUUAUGGCAUCAGAGGCUACCACCACUUCAGAUUAAGUGCUCUUAAUCCUGGGGUCGUGUUUGUAAAAGAGAUUUCUGGGGAUGAUGAAAGGCCAACACAUUAUGCCGCAGCCCCACCGCUGAUUUUUCCAGCAGUACUCUUCCUUUAGUAUUAGCCAAAGGCGGCCUCUCUUCUGAGAGACAACGAUAUUUAUAUAAAAGUCUGAGACCGUUUGUGCGAGAACAUGCGAGGGAUCUGACGUGCCCCGCUCCUACUGAGGAAAAAACUGACUGCUACCACAUCCAUUCAUAUCUUUGUUGAACUAUCAUUCGUUCAUUCAUUAACAUUGAUCUUCACUAGAAUUGUUAUUCAUUCAAUUCAUUCAUCUAUCGACGGAUGUUAUGUUCAUUUUUGCUUAAUUGAUUUUAUUGAAAAUAAGCUUUUGGAUCUUUUUGGAUGAAUUAUGAAGUUAUCAUUCAAAUUGUUGUAUCUCCCUUCGAUCAUUUAAAGUAAAGCGACAAUAAAAUUUGAAACG